rnacentral:rRNA from 1 species
GGAUUGAAGGCUGAAAUUCGCCUUCAUGAAGCCGGAAUUGCUAGUAAUGGCAGGUCAGCAUACUGCCGUGAAUACGUUCCCGGGCCUUGUACACACCGCCCGUCACACCAUGAGAGUUGGGAAUACCCGAAGCCUGUGAGCUAACGUUAAGAGGCAGCAGUCGAAGGUAGAAUCAAUGAUUGGGGUGAAGUCGUAACAAGGUAAC